GAUCUCGGUUCCACACAACAUCUCUGAACCACACGACAUCACACGCGGCCGCUACUGCCGUCCGCUUCCCAAUGGACGUUAAAGACCUCCCCCCUGAAGUCGGUGACAAGAGAGCAGUGCCCGCGUCACGGUCCACAUUUGCCAAGUUCUCAAAUUACUCCGGACUAAGUAAGUCGUAGGCAGAGGGAACGCGUGAAGGCCUCGAGCCUGGACCCGGCCUGGAGGAAAGGAAAAAAAACCUACGGGGCGGUUGGUAUGGAGACCCGGAGCGAUGGGCGCAGGCGAGAGCCGUGCUGCCUGACGUCACUCUACCUGUGGAGCGCCGAGCGGAGCCGAGGUGGAAGCUCAUUUCUAAAUUAGGCGACGAAAAUAAAUACACCCGAGUGUUUGCUCGGGGAGGCUGAGGAGCGAUGGAGACGUUUACUGUACGCGAGUGAGAGAGCGAGCGAGCGAGGGAGGAAGGGAGUGAGCAUCGAGCCUCUAAUUGACGUGUCGCCAGCGUGGCGAUUACGCCCAUUUGCCCCUCGAAGAGAACGCACCCGCAAUCUGCUUGCAUGCCCACGUGUUUGACGAAUACCACCCCACCCCUCCAUUGUGAGUGAUUUGUUGGCAUUGUGAAUUAUGAUCGUAUUGUGUGCGCACUUUCGCGCACGCAGCGCAGCCUUUCCUGCGCUGCGAACCCGGCCACAUCAGUUCAAUUCAGUAUUGGGUGGUCCUGAGCCUCCCCUAGGUCAACUUAGCCUCAAAUGACAAUUUGGUGUCUUGGGGAGACAAAAGCAGCUGGACGUGGUGCUGGUGACACCACCCCAUCAUGCGCUGUCCAGCCUUGAUAGGUGCUCGCUAACAACACUUUGUGUGCGUGUGGGGACCAGAUGCGUAGCGAUUAGCGCUACCAACCUUGUGAAUUUCAAUUCCCACAUUCUCAGCCAUGGCCAACAUCAGCGGUAGAUCUCUGAACCGGUCCUGGUCCUCAGUUUGACUUGGCCAUUAAUGAGUAUCUGGUGCGGUGUCCAAGCAUCGGUACUGUGGGGUUCGGGCCACACCACCCCUUCGUGUACCGUACCGGCCUUCAUAACUGCUCGCUAACAGCACUUGCCCCUACAGUCUUUUAAGGCUACACGGUGGGAUCAUUUUAUUUUGUGCGCAUACACACGUGUGCGUGUGUGUGCGCAUGGGUCUGUGGCCAUAUGUGCAGGGUGCCUGGCCCGCUGCUUGAAAGAAUUAAGGGCCUUCGUGGAGGUGGGCCAGGUCCAGAAGUCAGAGCUAUUCCCGGUUCAACUUUCUACACGGAUCUUCUCUGGCCCCUAGACUAUUUAACAUAUUUUUUUCAUCAAGUAGUUUUAGAUCUUUUCAAUGGGGGGCUGAUUGAUGCCCGGGUGCGGUCAAGAGAUGGCUCCCUACUGGUCAACCAUGUUAUGUUAUGCUAAUGGGUCGUAAUUGCUGCUUACUUUGAGAAUGAGUUGGAGCCUCUGCUGCUGAAUUUGGAGCAUGCCACUAAGUGGUGGGGCUUUAAUGUCAACAAGAAACUCCAGGAUUCCUCGGCCAUAGUUAAGCCCUCUUUUCUUUGUUCUUGCAAAACGUAGGCUGCUUUGGUUGGAGGCACCAAAGUAACGCCUGCACCAGUUUGAACAUUCAGGCUGGGCCUGCCUGUGAUCCAUUACACACAACACCUGGGUCUGUCCUGUGACCGCCCGUCAGCAUCGAGCCUUCGACGCUUCACGUGGCCUCCAAGUGCACCUAGCGUGGCACAGGCCAUGCGGUGAUGUCAUUACCAUAGUGGUAAAUGGCGGCUUUUGUUGUUUCCUUUAGUGUGUGUGUGCA